GGCUCUGAACUAAAUUUCUGUUUAUUCCUAUUUCUAGGUACCUGGCCUUGCAAUCCAGGGCUUCAAUAGGCCAUUUGUUGGGGCAGGAAGAUACUUUUUCCUGGAACAGCUACUACCUUUACCGAAUGUUUCCCGAUGUUCUCUGAGGUGACAGAGUGUGGCCUCUGAGACUGUUCAUGCUGGACACCGCACAGAAGGGGCAGCGCUCGGACUGGGAACAGAAGCUCUUAGGCAGCGUAUCUUCAGCAGGAUUACCCUAAGGUAUAGCAAAAACCUUCUAAGUGACUUUGCCUCAGUUCUGCUGAGAGUAAGUAAGUUGGGAAAAUCAGAGAUUUACUUUUUACAUUUUUGGACAUGGAGGGGAAUAUGAGAGAGAGAAAGGAGCAAUAAAAGAGAGUGAUGGUAUGAUUGUGGGCA
rnacentral:lncRNA from 1 species